rnacentral:rRNA from 1 species
CAAAUUUUUUUUUUUUUGUGGGGGGGGGCGGGGGGGGGGGGGGUGGGGGGGAUUAAACACUCGGGGUGGGGUUUUUUUUUCCCCCCCUUUUGGGCCCCGGGGAAAUAAAACCCCGGGGGGAAAAAUUUUGUUUUAAUAAACCCCGGGAAAAAUUUUUUUUUGGGGAAAAAAAGUUUUUUUCCCCCCCUUGGGGAGGGCCCCCGCCCUUGGUUUUAUUUUGUUGGGGGGGGGUAAUGGCCCCCCCCAAAGACAAUUUUCCAAAAGUUGGUUUGAGGAGGGAUGAUAACCCCCCUUUGGAAAUGAGGCCCCCGUUCCAAAUUUCCUACGGGAGGCAAGCAUUAGGGGAUUUUUGCCCAAAUGGAGGAAACUCUGAUGCAAGGGUGCCGGCUGAGUGAAGGAGGCCCUUUGGUUGUAAAGGUUUUUCGUCGGGGGAGAAAAAUGACUGUACCCGAAUAAGAAGGUCCGGCUAACUUUGUGCCAGCAGCCGCGGUAAUACGAAGGGACCUUAGCGUAGUUCGGAAUUACUGGGCUUAAAGAGUUCGUAGGUGGUUAAAAAAGUUGGUGGUGAAAUCCCAGAGCUUUAACUCUGGAACUGCCAUCAAAACUUUUUAGCUAGAGUAUGAUAGAGGAAAGCAGAAUUUCUAGUGUAGAGGUGAAAUUCGUAGAUAUUAGAAAGAAUACCGAUUGCGAAGGCAGCUUUCUGGAUCAUUACUGACACUGAGGAACGAAAGCAUGGGUAGCGAAGAGGAUUAGAUACCCUCGUAGUCCAUGCCGUAAACGAUGUGUGUUAGACGUUGGAAAUUUAUUUUCAGUGUCGCAGCGAAAGCAAUAAACACACCGCCUGGGGAGUACGACCGCAAGGUUAAAACUCAAAUGAAUUGACGGGGACCUGCACAAGUAGUGGAGCAUGUGGUUUAAUUCGAAGAUACGCGCAGAACCUUACCAACACUUGACAUGUUCGUCGCGACUUUAAGAGAUUAAAGUUUUCGGUUCGGCCGGACGAAACACAGGUGCUGCAUGGCUGUCGUCAGCUCGUGUCGUGAGAUGUUGGGUUAAGUCCCGCAACGAGCGCAACCCUCACUUUUAGUCGCCAUCAUUUAGUUGGGCACUCUGAAAGAACUGCCAGUGAUAAGCUGGAGGAAGGUGGGGAUGACGUCAAGUCCUCAUGGCCCUUAUGUGUUGGGCUACACACGUGCUACAAUGGUAUCUACAAUAGGAAGCAAGAUGGCAACAUUUAGCAAAUCCUAAAAAGAUAUCUCAGUUCGGAUAGCGCUCUGCAACUCGAGUGCAUGAAGCUGGAAUUACUAGUAAUCGUGGAUCAGCGUGCCAUCGGGUUCGGCCCC